UGAGGGUGGCAUGGGCUGGCCUAAACAACGCUCGGCAAGGGUUGCAGGCUUCCUUCGUCAUACUUGAGGGAGGCUCAGCCACUGUGAUUGGAUGGAUUCAAGGUGGCUUUAGCGACGGUGGAGGGGGCCAUUCCUUGAUUCGAGACAUACAGGCUAUGUUAGAGUGGUGGUGUGGCCUUCCAAGCUAAACGCAUUUUCAAGGAGGCAAACCGGGUCGCAGAUUGGGUGGCGUCGUAUGUGGCUAGUCACUCUGGGGGCACCUUGUGGGUUGGGGAAGCAGAGAUGCCUAGAGCCCUUCGAGAUUUG
rnacentral:lncRNA from 1 species